rnacentral:rRNA from 1 species
GACGAACGCUGGCGGCGUGCUUAACACAUGCAAGUCGAACGGUAAGGCCCUUCGGGGUACACGAGUGGCGAACGGGUGAGUAACACGUGGGUGAUCUGCCCUGCACUUCGGGAUAAGCCUGGGAAACUGGGUCUAAUACCGGAUAGGACCCUGGGAUGCAUGUCCUGGGGUGGAAAGCUUUUGCGGUGUGGGAUGGGCCCGCGGCCUAUCGGCUUGUUGGUGGGGUGAUGGCCUACCAAGGCGACGACGGGUAGCCGGCCUGAGAGGGUGACCGGCCACACUGGGACUGAGAUACGGCCCAGACUCCUACGGGAGGCAGCAGUGGGGAAUAUUGCACAAUGGGCGCAAGCCUGAUGCAGCGACGCCGCGUGAGGGAUGACGGCCUUCGGGUUGUAAACCUCUUUCAGCACCGACGAAGCGCAAGUGACGGUGGGUGCAGAAGAAGGACCGGCCAACUACGUGCCAGCCGCCGCAGUAA